rnacentral:rRNA from 1 species
AGUUUGAUUCUGGCUCAGAUUGAACGCUGGCGGGAUGCUUUACACAUGCAAGUCGAACGGCAGCACGGACUUCGGUCUGGUGGCGAGUGGCGAGCGGUGGGUAAUGUAUCCGGAACGUGCUAGUAGCGGGGGGAUAACUUCACGGCGUGACUAUGCACCCUUCGAGGGAAGCGGGGACGCUGGACCUCACGCUGUUGGAAGCGAUCUGUCGGAUUAGCUGGAUUGGUGGGAGUAACAGCUCCCUGCCAGGCGACGAUCCGUAGCUGUGGUUUGAGAGGACGACCAGCCACACUGCGGGACUGAGACACGGCCCGAACUCUCACGGAGGCAACGGUGAAAUUUGGACAGUAAGGAAACCUGGUCAGCCAUCCACGUGUGCGACGAGCCUUCAGGUUGUCCGGCACUUUUGGCGAAAAACGGCACGGGAUAAUGCCCGUGCAACUGACGGUACACCUGCAGGCAGCACCGGCUAACACGUGCAGCAGCCGCGGUAUACGUAGGGUGCAAGCGUUAAUCCGGAGGAUUACUGGGCGUAAAGCGUGCGCAGGCGGUUCGGGAAAGAAGAUGUGAAAUCCCGGAAAUACUUUAGGACACAUUUUUGCUACGAGCAGGUGUGGUGGGUCACGUGUAGCAGUGAAAUGCGUGAUAUGGAAGACACCGAUGGCGGCGGCCUCACAGGAUAACACUGACUCAUGCACACAGCAUUAAAGGGCAAACGGAUUGAAUGCUGGUAGCCCACGCCCCUAAACGAUGUCAACUAGCUGUUGGGGCCUUCGGGCCUUGGUAGCUGCAGCUAACGUGAAGUUGACCGCCUGGGAAGUACAGUGCAAGAUUAAAACUCGAGGAAUUGACGGGGACCACAAGCGGUGGAUGAUGUGGAUUAAUUCGAUGCAACGCAGCGAAAACCUUACCUACCCUUGACAUGUCUGGAAUCCCGAAAGAGAUUUGGGAGUGCUCGCGAAGGCAAGACACAGGUGCUGCAUGGCUGUCGUCAGCUCUGGUGUCGUGAGAUAGUGGGUUAAGUCCCUGUAAACGCAACCCUUGUCGUGGAUUUAACUGCGAGGCUCUAAUGAGACUGCCGGUGACAAACCGGAGGAAGGUGGGGAUGGCGUCAAGUCCUCGCGGAAGCAUAUGAAUUUAGGGCUUCACGUCAUACAAUGGUCGGGACAGAGGGUCGCCAGCCGCGGGAGGCCAAUCCAAACCCGAUCGUAGUCCGGAUCGCAGUCUGCAACUCGACUGCAUUGAAGUCGGAAUCGCACAAGUAAUCGCGGAUCAGCAUGUCGCGGUGAAUACGUUCCCGGGUCUUGUACACACCGCCCGUCACACCAUGGGAGUGGGUUUUACCAGAAAUGAUUCUUCCUAACCGUAAGGAGGGCGAUUCACCACAUUACUGACUGGGGUGAAGUCGUAACAGGCCA